rnacentral:lncRNA from 1 species
CUGCGGACCAGGCUUUGUUACCUCAAGGGAGGCAGAGCUCCAUUGCCUCUGCCGCAAACUAGUGCUCGUCCUGGCAGCUGCCAGGCGAGGGCUACUUCAGGCAAUAGCAUGGGUGGUUUGAGGGUUACAGUGGUGGCAAACCCCUCAGGGAACCAACCCUUGGGGUCCACCACUCCUCUAGCACUUCCGAUUCAGUUGAGUUUGAGGGUUACAGUGGUGGCAAACCCCUCAGGGAACCAACCCUUGGGGUCCACCACUCCUCUAGCACUUCCGAUUCAGUUGAGUGGCCAAAGGAUAGCAUUUUUAUUAACAAAGCACACUCAGACACUCUCCGGUCUGCUCACAAGCUACCCAAGUUGGGUUCCUGCGGUGGUUCUGUUGGUCCCGCUUGCACGGUAUCUGGGUGCCUGGCUAGCGCCAUCCAGCCCAUCUCGCUGGCUUCUGUGGACCAUCAGCCUCGGCUAUACAAUUCAGUUCACCCAGCAUCUCCCCAAGUUCAGUGGCAUCCGCUUCACAACAAUGAAGGCGGCCGUUGCUCCUGUCUUGCAUGCGGAUAUUACAGUCCUACUGGUGAAGGAUGCGAUGGAGCCGGUCCCUCCAGCCAAUAUGAGAACGGGGUUUUACAGCCCUUACUUCAUUGUACCCAAGAAAGGCGGUGGGUUACGACCAAUCUUAGACCUGCGUGCCUUGAACCAGACCCUUUACCGGUCACCGUUCAAGAUGUUGAUGCAAAAACGCAUCUUCGGGUGCGUCCGUCCCCAAGAAUGGUUUGCAGCGAUCGACCUGAAGGAUGCAUACUUUCAUGUGUCGAUUCUUCCGUGCCACAGACCAUUUCUGCGGUUUGUGUUCGAAGGAUGGGCAAACAAGUACAAGGUCCUGCCCUUCGGGCUGUCCCUGUUUCCCCGUGUCUUAAUGAAAGUUGGGGGCUCUUGUUCCCCUCAGAGAGCAGAUUGGCUUAUACUAGCACAGUCUUGGGACCAGUUGUGUGAGCACAGGGAGCUGGUGCUCCGGCACCUCAGCCUGUUGGGUCUUCGGGUCAACUGAGAAAAGAGCAAACUCUACCCAACACAGAGGAUCUCUUUUCUCAGUAUGGAGUUGGAUUUGGUCGAACAGACAGCACGCCUCACAGAGGAACGUGCAUGGUCGGUGCUGACCUGCUUGCAUUCAUUCAAGGGCAGGACUGCAGUCCCACUGAAACUAUUUCAGAGGCUCCUGGGGCAUGUGGCAGCUGCAGUGGCACUUACACCGCUAGGGCU